AAAGAAAAACAGGCACUUUUCCAACAAAUUUUCCGAAUGGGCGACUCCAACAAAGAAGACAUUCUGCACCUGCCGAACGGCGAUGCUCUGACCGGAGAUGAGGUUAAGUCGCAGUUUUUGAUUGGCGUGGCAGGAGGCACGGCCAGCGGCAAGUCUACCGUGUGCAAGAAGAUCAUGGAGCAACUUGGGCAGGCCGAAAUGGACCAUACACAGCGCCAGGUGGUGGCUAUCAGCCAGGACAGCUUCUAUCGCGAGCUGACAGCCGCCGAGAAGGCCAAGGCACAGAAGGGCCUGUUCAACUUUGACCAUCCGGACGCCUUCAACGAAGAGCUGAUGUUCGAUACACUUCAGGGCAUCCUCAAGGGUCACAAGGUGAAGAUACCCGGCUAUGACUACCGCACCAAAGGCAGAGCGUUGCAAGCGAUAUUGCAUGUUAUACGAAGCCCCGAAUGGAUCAUGGGUGGCGGCAACACCCACCACUCUGGGGAUCUCUCGCUGAUCGGGCGACGGAUUAGUCACAUCGGCACCCAAAAACAUGGUGUUCUUUAGUAGACAGUGCAGGGCAUCCCUUACCUUGUGAUUGGUGCCGUUCAGUUUGGAAUUGACCUUAAGUAGAACGUUACCAAUAACCUGCGCGUUACAUUUACGCUCGACUGUGAUCUGCUUGAUGCAUUGUGUGAGAAUGCCAUCCUGCAGCUCCGCCUUUUACUUCACGACAUCAAAAAAGCGACCGAAAUUUGGUAUAACAACGAACACCAAACGAUUAACCUAUUAUAAGCCAACUAGGUUUUUCAAUUUUCCACCGAAAAUAAUGAAAAUUUAACCAUUUCAUAUAUUGUAUGCCAUAUUGUAAGAAAAGCAGUCAAGGUAUAUAACGUCAGAACGAAUAUAUGUAACUAUAACAGUAUUAAAAUUAAUGUCGCACCCAGUGUAAGGAAAGCAGUCAAGUGAUGGGUGGAUAAGUGCCGGAGCCGGAUAAGACACUGCGCGGUCGCAACGAGGAAACAUGUGACAAAGAUUGUAUGUCAAUUGCUGCAGUACAUCAAUAUCCAAGUUGCCCGUAUUCUCAAAUAGGUUGUAACGCGUCCGCUUUGCCGUCGCCUGAAUCGACUGAUGGCUGACCAUGAAGAACUGGAUCUCAUUGGAAUGGACAAUGGUGCGAUCGACGACGGUUCCCGGAACAACAUUGUUGAACUUAUUGUAUUGCGAUGGAGCUCCGUUCGGAAAGAAGUGCGUAUGAUGCCGGGAACUACAAUGACGCAGAAAAUCUUGGGUUUGAUAUGCAUCUGAAAGGAAGCGAAGCAGGCCGCAGAAAUCCCCCUCAACUCUUCAUUCUUAAUCUUGGGAAACUCCAUCGCUGCCACCAUCACGAUAAUAGAUAAUGUGCUCGGGAUAGGAUAUGCGGAACUGAUGAUAGACACGCAAGUGCUCAAGAGCUACCGACUCCAUGUCCUCAAUCUCCUCCAAGGCAGAGCGUUGCAAGCGAUAUUGCAUGUUAUA